CAGUGGAGCGUAGCAAGGUCACUUUCUGGGUGACUGUGACGUCAUAGUUACAUAACCACCCCUCCCCUGCCUCCAGUGGAUUUCUGCACCGGACUCCAAGCUCCAGGGCCCUCCCCUGUCAGGAGGACACCUGCCUGGGCUCCAGGAGGCCCAUCCGCACACGCCUGAGGCUGCUUUCCCAUAGAUACGGGCUUUACCUGCUUGUCGGCCCACCAGCCCGCCCCCCGGGCCCCGGGCCCAUCAGCCAGAGCAAGUUGGGGCUCCUCGGACUCUGCACGCAGAGCAGCGCGGCCUCCAUUGCCUCCACGCAGCACCCCGGGGUUCUGUGGCUGCCAGUUUUGCCCCUGGCAGAGCCGGGAGCGGGCCUGACUCUGCCCCACGCUGCCGGGGGAGGGCAAGCCCAGGGACCAGGGCGGAGCGUUCUUCACUCUGGACAUCAAGAAGUCACUUCGGGCCCCGGGCUCGGGUUCUCAGGGCAGAGAUCCGCGACGGCCUCCAGUCCCACUGGGACCAAUUAGAAUUUGUUCUAAGUUCUUCUUUUCUCAGAAUCGUCCUUAAAUAUCUUUGGGACUGGUUUCAGGAGGCAGAUACAUAGGAAGGACUGGCGUCUUCCCCUGAAGUUUCUCCACGAACAAGGGCCAACGAUCUGACCCUCCCCAGCGACAGGAGGCUGGGUUCCACCCUUGGAGCGGCUUCCAGCAGCAGUAAGCUAAUUGCACGGAGCAGAGAGCCCAUCAGAGACGACCCGACUCCCUACUCCAAGAUGCAGGGUGCCUGAGCUGGGAGGUACAGCCAGCUUGUCCCUGCCGAGGUGGCACAAGACAAGCCAGCAGGACUUUCUCUACACCAAGUGCAUUCCCUGCCCCGUGGGGAACGCUAGCUUUGGAGACAGUGGCACCUGCGAGAAGAUGCAGGUAUAUCGGGAUGAGUGGAAAACAACUUCAUUUGCAUCUGGAGAGACCCAAGCAGUGGCUUCUGCAGCAGGGACUCUGACAAACAGCACACAGACCUGUCUACGCCGUUGCCCAACAUGCCUGCAGACUUCUCAAAUCCUUGAAUUCUGCAAGCCCACAUCCUCACGGCUCCUGUUUGGAACUGGGUUGCAAAACUGUACUCCCAGCUGGAACUCAGCAUCACAGCAGCUGUUAUUAAGUACCUACCAUGCACCAGGUUUGAGAUGCAUUUAUGUCCUCGACCCAAAACCAAAACCAUAUAAGGCAAUUCCUGUUUCCCUCUUCUGAGGACACGUGGAAGGAGGAAGUAAUUUCCACAAAGCCACACAGCUCAGAAGUGGCUGCACUGAAGCUGGAACCUGGGUCUGCUGACUCAGCCUGGGCCCCUAACAAUCUUGCUGCUUAACCAGUUCAAUGAGCUAAUCACCCAACUAACAAACCAGUAGACCCGCCAACCCUCCACUCCAACCCUCCACAUGCGUACGCUGGAUGCCAGGCACUGGAAACAAAGGGAGAUGAUGACAAGAAUCCCGCCCUACCUGUUGGCCUUUAGCAGAUUGCUCAACACCCCAGGACUUUAGUUCCCCCAUCUAUAAAAUGGAACAAUAAUGCUGCCUCCCUCCCUCACUGGGUUAAGUGCCUGUAAAGCACUUAGAACCGCGUCUGCCACAGUUCAAGCAUUCGGUAAAUGUUAUCUACUAACAUGACGUUAAUGGAACCGUGAUGUUUUAACUUACAUUUUGUUUCCAGUGCAAUGUGGCGCAAUCGAUUUUCAAACAAAGCAACUUUUUACAAAGCCUGUACCCAGGGAUGGUGGAGAGGGCGGUGAGCUCCAUUCUCAGCCCAGCAAAUAGAUUCACACGUCACCCUGGUACAUCUCUAUCUUUAGCCACAAAGGACAACAAAACAGGACUCAGCCUUCCACUUUCAUCCUCCCUCUGCCCAUCUGGUGAAUGCGCGGGGGGAAGAGCAGUCCUAACCUCUCUGGUCCCCCGGGUGCCCAGGGGGAGGUCUGCCCCCAGUAGCCAAGAGAGGAGCCCCGGCACCCCGUCCCUGCCCGUGGCAGAGCGAAGGGGUGCCCGCCCAGCUGCCAAGGCCUGAAGAGCUGGGACGAAACAGAAACCUGCCCUGGUGGCCAACGCCCAAGCGGCCCCAGGGCCACAAAACAAAACUCGCCUUCCUGGUCUCUUUCCUUGAAAAGCAUAGUCUGGAUCCUGCGUUUGAGUUCACAAGU